AGGCCUUUCGCGGUACGCGAGCGGCGAACGGGUGAGUAACACGUGGGUGAUCUGCCCUGCACUUCGGGAUAAGCCUGGGAAACUGGGUCUAAUACCGGAUAUGACCUCANGUUGCAUGACUUGGGGUGGAAAGAUUUAUCGGUGCAGGAUGGGCCCGCGGCCUAUCAGCUUGUUGGUGGGGUAAUGGCCUACCAAGGCGACGACGGGUAGCCGACCUGAGAGGGUGACCGGCCACACUGGGACUGAGACACGGCCCAGACUCCUACGGGAGGCAGCAGUGGGGAAUAUUGCACAAUGGGCGAAAGCCUGAUGCAGCGACGCCGCGUGAGGGAUGACGGCCUUCGGGUUGUAAACCUCUUUCAGCAGGGACGAAGCGCAAGUGACGGUACCUGCAGAAGAAGCACCGGCUAACUACGUGCCAGCAGCCGCGGUAAUACGUAGGGUGCAAGCGUUGUCCGGAAUUACUGGGCGUAAAGAGUUCGUAGGCGGUUUGUCGCGUCGUUUGUGAAAACCAGCAGCUCAACUGCUGGCUUGCAGGCGAUACGGGCAGACUUGAGUACUGCAGGGGAGACUGGAAUUCCUGGUGUAGCGGUGAAAUGCGCANAUAUCAGGAGGAACACCGGUGGCGAANGCGGGUCUCUGGGCAGUAACUGACGCUGAGGAACGAAAGCGUGGGUAGCGAACAGGAUUAGAUACCCUGGUAGUCCACGCCGUAAACGGUGGGGCGCUAGGUGUGGG
rnacentral:rRNA from 1 species